CGUUAAGACACAAAAGGGGAGAGGGGAAAUAUUAUCCUGUCGAAUUAUAUCCCCCCAGAAAAGCCAAAUCCCAUUAGCUGGUGAUGGUAUGAUAGAAAUCAUAUGCUCCUCGGCCUGAACAGUCAUUACAGCAUGAUUCAUCACUUCCAGACAGCAGCAAUCAAAUGCCGAUCUGGGGCAUUAAAGCCAGACAAGAGCAAUAUAGCCCAGAAUCGGGUAAUAAACAGACCUGACCUGACCUCUGCCCAUUGGCUCAUUUUCCUGUAAUGCGGCAUGUUAAUUGUGCCAUUAGCUUUCAGCAGUCGAGAGGAUCUGAUAUUGAUGUGCUUUUUCAUUUUUUAACAUAAGGUGAAUUCAGGUACAUUGAGAAAAUAUCAUCAUAUAACUUUAUAGUGUAUGCCCUGUAUAGUUUCCAGUGCUUCCCACAUAACGUUUCAUAAUCCAAGUCCUCAUUUGCUUGUAACUUUCUUGAAAACUUUAGGGUGACCAAUGAGAAAAUGCCUUAAGCCUGUAAUUCUCUUAGGACGAUCUGCCGACGCAAUCCAAAUACUGCCUGGACUCGGUUUCUGAGAAACUGUUUGUUGGCCCGAGUUUGCUGUACGGUUCUCCUCACAAUGAAGCUUUUCUUUACGUACGAUAAAAAAGGCUUCAGUUUCAACCACUUUUUUCUUCCUUCUGUUGAAUGAGGACAGUAGCCUUGCCGUGACCCCCAAAUGUCCUUGGAAAUGCUCCGCCCCCAUUGGUCAUGAGCAGAGCACUGAUUUGUUAGGUCUCUGAGAAAUAAUUCAUUGAAUGGUACGCUUGUCUUUGCUUUGUGUGUUUGACAGAGUGAAACUGAGAGAAAACUGAAUAGGGAUUAAAAAGGAGGCUGGAGAGAAAGAAUCAGACCGACCUUCGCCAAUCUCAGAGAGAAAUGGUGAAUGAGAAAAACUGCAGUAUCUAUGAACGUUAAAAUAGAAGAUGAAACAAGAAAAACUGUGUUGUUUCCUGUAAGCAUCUGCCUUUCUGGCAAGCACCAGCACACACUUGCAUACUGUAUGUUUUGGUCUAGUCCAGAGGUCUGUCUUCAACCUUUUUCAGGCCUAGGACCCCAUAAAGGAUAGAAAGGAGGAGCAGGGACCCCCUGUACAUUUAACACAUCAAGACUGGAUUUACAUACUUUGUUAUGAUGGUUAUGUUACAAAGACAUAACCAUCAUAGUGGAAAUGUUAUGUUUUUGUAGUGGAAAUAUUACAUUUUAAUUAAGUUUUAAUUUAUUAUUAACCCUAUUAAUGCAUUUUAGUUUGAUGCCUAAUUUUAUCAGUUCAAACAAUAUAUUUUGCAUUCAAACAGUAUUUGAAGGACCCAGUGAAACCACCACAGACCCCUAAGGGUCCCCGGACCCCCUGUUGAAGACCCAUAGUCUAGUCAAUAUUCAGUGUUUUGAUAGAGGUUAUAGAGACACCCAUAGCCUUCUGCUACUGCUACAAUAUUUGGAAUAGUCUCACAAGAUACAUACUAUAAUCGUCAAGCAAAAAAUAGGACAGCCUUUGCGUCUCUUUAGCUAGGUGAUUUUUACUCCUUAAAUAGACUUCCUCCAGCCUGUAUAUUAUGGAUUGGAGACCUUGCAUAUUAUUUGACAAUUGAGAAAAUGUUCUAUUCAACAGGAGGAUGUGUAAUACAUUAA